rnacentral:rRNA from 1 species
UACGUAGGCAGCAAGCGUUGUUCGGAGUUACUGGGCGUAAAGGGUGCGUAGGUGGCUCUAUAAGUAUGGUGUGAAAUCUCCCGGCUUAACUGGGAGGGUGCGCCGUAGACUGUGGGGCUAGAGUGUGGGAGAGGAAAGUGGAAUUCCUGGUGGUAGCGGUGAAAUGCGUAGAUAUCAGGAGGAACACCGGUGGUGUAAACGGCUUUUCUGGACCAUAAACUGACAC